GCGUUUGUUGUCGGUUCGAGGCGCGGGUCUUAGGCCCUCUCUCUGCGCUCUCGGUGACUGUCACCCUCCUCUCUGCACAGACAGCCUCGAGCCCCAGUCUCGGGGAGGGCGUGGCCACCUGUAGGGCGGGCUCCCAAUCUCGUCCCUGCUCGACCCUGGGACGGGCAGCCUGGUGCUAGGGAAGGGCAGGGCGGUGGCCAGGACUGUGCGGAGCCCAGCUGGGCCGGGAGACAGGCUAAAGCCGCCUCAGCCUCAGGCAGCCAGCGCCAGCCACGUGGCCACAGGCCUGCGUACGGAGCUGCAGCUGGGCACAGGCCGCCGCGGGAGGCUGAGAUGCCCCAGGCGGCUCGGGGCGGGGCAGGGGAGAGGAGCGGGAGUUUUGAGAGCCGAGGUUUGGCUGGACCGAUGCGCGGGUCGCCGAGCUGACGGCCCCUCCCCUCCAGCGUCUUCUCCUGAGCUUUCCUUGCCCUCUGCCUGGCGGCCCCCGCUGUGAGGCCCCCCGGUGCUUCACCGUUUCCUCUCCCUCCUUCUACCGGCCGAAGCUGUGCUUCCUUUAAGCCAACUCAGUCCCUCCAGGAAGCCCCAGGUGCUGUGUUCCUCGACCUUCGUGUCCAGGGUUCCCAGACUCACUGCUGGCAUCUGGAGACGGAUGUGGGCUCUGCGGCCGUGGCUCAGUGGUUUGACCCGGUGUCUCAGUCUCUUCCUCUGGGAAAUGGGGACGGCAGAGCCCUCACGGCAGAUGGAGGCGGCUGUCUCUGAGCUGCUCCCCGCGAUCCGUGAGUGCGGUGAAGGUCACUGCGCUGCCCCGCCCCAGGGAAGCCGGCCAGCACCCUGCGCUCCCGCUGGGCCAAGCCUCGGGCUGAGGGGUUCAGUGUGGAGCCCGCCUCCCCUCAUCUGUAGCCUCGCAGCAUGAUGUCGCUCCAGUGCUGGCGCCUCGUUCCUUCUCUAAAGCUGAAGCCGGUCCCGACUGCAGCGCGGGCGACUGCGCUCCUCGCGAGAUCCGUGCGCCCCGCUUCACUGCCUUCUCACUUCCUGCCCCACUCAGUCCUCCGAGGGAGGGCGCCCCUCUCACGGCUCGGCCGGCCGUCACCUCCCUGGCCUCCACCUGGGCGGGCACUGGGUCUGCACUUUGUCGCUGAGAGCUCAAAGACGAGAACCUGAUCCCUGGCCCAGUGGAGCCUGGAUCAGACCCAGGCGGGCUCCACGCCAGGUCUGCUUUCAUUUCCAGGACCACCGCGCCUCGCAGCCCCAGGGCCUUGCGGAACUCUGAGCAGCGCUUCAUCUGCUGUUGGUUCCGACCCUCGGGGACUCUGCUGAAGGGGGUCCGUGAGCAGCUGCUGAUGACACAAAGCCGGGGUGCGGGUCCUCUGAGCGGGCCACGCCUUCGCGGUCCCCACCUGUAUCCAGGACCUCAGCGUCCGGCCGCUUCUCGUGAGGGACUGGCUUCCUCUGUGUGCCCUCUCCCUUCCCCAGCCGGACAGCUGCGCCAAGGUCCGGGCGGACUCCUUAUUUCAAGGAACCUGGAUUUACAGCAUUUUGAACCGUCGUGAUCUCAGGGCAACCCUUCUCCAUACUGGAAUUUUACAUGGAUUAAGCGAUCAGACCAUAUCCGGAGUUGGACUAGGGAGAAACGGUCAUGUUUCAGUUCUCAACAAACUCUGUCUCCAUGAGACGUGCAGUACCAGUCCUCAAAAGCAUGCUGAGCAGGUUUCCCAGGACAGAACAGCGCAAACAACCCAGAAGACGUGUGCAAGGCCGAGUGCUGCCACAGGACGCAGUACCUGGAGCCAGCAGAAGGAGUUCAAGCCUGGACUUGGCCACACAAUGGCAGUGCGACGCUGGGUACACCGAGCAUCCUCUGUGCCUCAGUCUACUCAUUCUAAGCGAGGAUGAUAUUAGUACCUAGCUUGUGGGGUUUGUCCUGAGCAUCUCACUGCAGGAGUUAACGCUUUACGGCUAUUAAAAUAGUGUCUAGACCAUAGAAAGUUCUACUUAAGUGCCUGUCGCAUACACACAGUAUUUUCUGAUCUGGUCAGCCGGAGCCCCUGGUGGCCUUGGAGUGUGAUUCAGUCUGAACCUGAAGCCCCCAGGUGGGACUGCCCGGGUCUCCUAUCGCAGUAGGACUCCAAGGAUCUGCGGAGGUCGAGGCAUCCGUGGUGGGGCGGGUUCACCUUGGUGCCUCCAGGCUGGGCCCUGAGGCCGUCUCGUCCAGGGCCCCAGAGGUGUCUGCCGUGUGCUGAGUGUGGGCCGUGACCUGAAGAUGCGACUCUGUUUGAUUCCAUGUUGCCACCCGCUGCCAGGCUCCCUGUCACGUGGGCUGCAGGCUGCCUGCCGUGGACGGAUUAUAAGGCAGUGGAAGCUCUGAGAUGGAACCUACCCCGUCCUCCACUUCGAACACAGACUGCUGUUCUCUCCAGUUCUCCUAUGGGUGUCUUCUUGGACAGUGGUCACCGAAGCCAGGGGCUCCUCCUGCUGGCCGGUGCAGGCUCAGGGACGUUCUCAUGUCUGCAGGGGGCCUUUCCAGGAAGAUCUCGGGGUUAUGGCAUCUGUCUGACAGGAGCCUGAGGGCAUCUCCAGCUGCAUGGCAGAGACUUGGCUUACCCAGGCGGGGCUGCCCCAGGGACUCUCCAGGGUGACUUGUGGCUUCCUGCUCACUUCCUUCCAGCACCCCCACUUCAUCCUGAGGCCCAUCUUCAGCUUUCCCGAGCCAGCUGUGCCUCAUCCUCCCCUGCUCACACUGCUCUGAGGACGCCAGUCCCGACUCCGUCCUCUGCAGUGCGCUUUGCCUCCUCCCUGCCAUCCAGUCUGGCUGUGAUCGUGAUCGGAGGAGGCUCUGCACUUGCUCUGGGCCUCUGGGGCUGGCAGGGAAGAGACAGCAGGGGGCACCAAACCCCGCAGUUCCGAGGAGAGCCUGGGGCUCCAGAUUCCCCAGCGAGGUGGAGCGAGUGGCAGGCGCCCAGCCCCAAGCCGGCCACAGAUGCCAUCAAGGGCAAAAGGACCCAGGACUUGCGUGGGGUCCUGUCGCUAGCUUCAAAGUAAGGGCUAUAGGACAUUUUGCUGGAUUUGUGCAGGGCCUACCAAGAGCCAUGGGGUGCCCAACUUGGGCCUUGGACGAAGACCGCCCGGCCAGGUUCUCCUGCUCCAGGGCCGCUCUCAGUGCACCCUGCCCAGGUGUUGGCAGUGAAAUCCCCGCUGGCACUGCACUCAUGGACCCGAGAGUGAGAUGGGGCAGCAGGGCGAGGGUGCUCGGAGCUUGGUGGCGGAUGUAGCAGUCGGCCCCGGGGGCCGGGAGUCUUGGGACCAGUGUGCACUAACGAGAAGCCAAGAAGCCAUGGAGCCAACAAAAACUGCUCUCAGCUAUACCGUAUUUAAUUAAUACUCUAACAUCCACUCCUGUAAAGCUUACAUCGAAUCGAC
ensembl:lncRNA